CCUACGGGGGGCAGCAGUGGGGAAUAUUGGACAAUGGGGGGAACCCUGAUCCAGCCAUGCCGCGUGUGUGAAGAAGGCCCUCGGGUUGUAAAGCACUUUCAGUGAGGAAGAACGCCUGGUGGUUAAUACCCAUCAGGAAAGACAUCACUCACAGAAGAAGCACCGGCUAACUCCGUGCCAGCAGCCGCGGUAAUACGGAGGGUGCGAGCGUUAAUCGGAAUUACUGGGCGUAAAGCGCGCGUAGAUGGCUUGAUAAGCCGGUUGUGAAAGCCCCGGGCUCAACCUGGGAACGGCAUCCGGAACUGUCAAGCUAGAGUGCAGGAGAGGAAGGUAGAAUUCCCGGUGUAGCGGUGAAAUGCGUAGAGAUCGGGAGGAAUACCAGUGGCGAAGGCGGCCUUCUGGACUGACACUGACACUGAGGUGCGAAAGCGUGGGUAGCAAACAGGAUUAGAUACCCUGGUAGUC
rnacentral:rRNA from 1 species